AACGAACGCUGGCGGCAUGCUUAACACAUGCAAGUCGAACGAGACCUCCGGGUUUUGUGGCGCUCGGGUGCGUAACGAGUGGGAACCUGCCCUUAGGUUCGGAAUACCUCCCCGAAAGGGGUGCUAAUACAGGUUAAUGUCAUCGGACCUAGGAGUUAUGGCCUUUGGAUGGGGCCGCGUUGGUUUAGCUGGUUGGGAGGGUAAAAGCGUGCCAUGGCGACGUUGCUGAGCUGGUCGGUGAGGAUGAUCAGCCAGACUGGGAGUGCGACACGGCCCAGACUCGGAGGCAACGGAGCGGAGGGUAAUAUAGGGGAAGGAGCGCAAGCCUGAUCCAGCAAUGCCGCGUAUGUGGUGAAGGGCUUUGUGAUGUAAUUCUCUUUUACCCGAGAUGAUAGUGACGGUACCGGGAGAAGAAGCACCGGCUAACUACGUG
rnacentral:rRNA from 1 species